ensembl:lncRNA
CGCUUCUACCGUCCGAUUGGCUAAGCCGCACCGCCAACUCUGUGCCGUUGAAAGAAGCUAUUAGUCCGCGCAAAAUAAAUUGGAUCUUAUCGCUAUGGUAAGUAUCAACCCUCUCUCAACAGUUAUUGUUUUAUUUCGAAAGCAGGCGCCAUUACUUGUAUGUGUGAACCACUUAUGUUAGGCCUACCUUUUGUUUCAGUACCAGCAUAUGAUUUUCCAUCAGUUAAGUUCGGCGUUGCCUGGAAAUAUGAUGGAAAGGCCUGAGCGCUCUACCCGGGCAAAAGGACAGCGGGGGAAUGAAGGAGAAAGCUCCGAUAUGCCUACUGCUGUUAGUAAUAUCGAAAAUAUUCAACCACACAAAGUGCAAUGGAAGAAAAGGUCGGAAGAGCUGCAGUCCCGAAUCAAUGAGCUGGAGGAGGAGAAUGCUUUGCUCAAGCAGCAGCUUGAGCAAAGGCCUUCAGCAAAUCAAGGUGAGAAAAUGGACAACACUGCCACCGACCCAGAGUCAGACACUGACUCGAGUUCCAACUCCAGCACUGACUCCACCGAUUCCAGGAGCAGUGAUACAAGCUCUUCCUCCUCUGAUGGCCGCAAGAAAAAGAGGAAGCACAAAAAGAAAAAACAAAAAGAAGAGCAAAAAGGCUUCAAAGAACAAAGGACUUCGAGGUAAAGUAAACUAUAGAGUUGUGCUGUAUUUCUUUAGGUUUGGACAUUAAAUAUAGUGUAUACAGCUUAGG